GGGGAAUAUUGCACAAUGGGCGAAAGCCUGAUGCAGCAACGCCGCGUGAGUGAAGAAGGUUUUCGGAUUGUAAAGCUCUGUCAUCUGGGACGAUAAUGACGGUACCAGAGGAGGAAGCCACGGCUAACUACGUGCCAGCAGCCGCGGUAAUACGUAGGUGGCGAGCGUUGUCCGGAUUUACUGGGCGUAAAGGGUGCGUAGGCGGAUGUUUAAGUGAGAUGUGAAAUACCCGGGCUUAACUUGGGCAGUGCAUUUCAAACUGGAUGUCUGGAGUGCAGGAGAGGAGAACGGAAUUCCUAGUGUAGCGGUGAAAUGCGUAGAGAUUAGGAAGAACACCAGUGGCGAAGGCGGUUCUCUGGACUGUAACUGACGCUGAGGCACGAAAGCGUGGGUAGCAAAC
rnacentral:rRNA from 1 species